rnacentral:rRNA from 1 species
UACAGAGGGGGCAAGCGUUAUUCGGAAUUAUUGGGCGUAAAGGGCGCGUAGGCGGGUCACCAAGUCCGGGGUGAAAUCCUUCGGCUCAACCGGAAAAUUGCCUUGGAUACUGGUGGUCUUGAGGGAGGUAGGGGCAUGUGGAACUUCCGGUGGAGCGGUGAAAUGCGUUGAUAUCGGAAGGAACGCCGGUGGCGAAAGCGACGUGCUGGAUCUCUUCUGACGCUGAGGCGCGAAAGCUAGGGGAGCAAACGGG